AUUCAGCUGGUGAGUCCCAAAUAGGACGAAACGCGUGUCCUGGAU
rnacentral:hammerhead_ribozyme from 1 species